CAACCCAACGUUGGUAAAUUAAAUAUGAAUGUUUAAUGUUUAAGAAACUUGCAGGCCUUUCAUCUCUUAUAAGUGGAGCAACACCAAUAGCAAUAUAUUUUGUGAAAUUUGUAAAGUGACCGAGUAUAUAAAAAUAUCGACUCCAGGGUGUCUAGUUAUAUUUCUUUUUAGAGAGUUUUUAUCCUCUCUCUCUCUUCUCUCAUCUCCAUCUUUGAGAAGAGAGAGAGUUUUUCUCUCUUUUUUUGAUGUAUAUACUUCCGAUUAAUAUCGGAUCUUCCUUCCGUGUAUAAUGGAUAAUAAUUUCGACUUGAUCGGAUUUGUUUUAUUCCGUUUAUCAGAGUUCUUUUUCUUCUAUGUUUGAUUCCUUCUUCUUAUGUAGUAAAAUCCAACACCAAUCCUUAGUGGAGUGAAGGAUUUUAUCAAAUUAGAGGAAUCUUUGAUCUUCUUGUGUUAAAGUUAAGGUUUUCUGAUUUAUCGGAUGUUUUAUGCCCAUUCUCCUCUACAAUUGGUUCCUCUUGUAUAUGAGGCGGUGGUGAUUGGAUCUGGAGGUAAGAGUUGGAAGUCUUCUUCUUCAAUUACUAGUAUCAUCUUUUCUGGGCUGGGAUUGGAAUCUCCCUAAGUCCCCUAUUUUAAAGCCUUCUUCAAGGUAUGGGUGACAUGUCCUGAGUAUAGAUGAUUGGCGAUGAUUCAAAUGAAGGAUUAGAGUUUCUGCUCAAUUACUCUCUGGAUCUUAUUGAGGAGGAAACAAUAGGUGAAGAAGCAGCAAUUUGAGGAGGAUGAUAGAUCUGAUUGGAGUUAACCUAUGGUUUUGAACUCUUCGGAUUAUCGAUUUUCCGGCGAAGCUCUGUAUCGUCGAUGAGAUCGGCGGCAUCUUCUAACCAUUAAUCGGCGUUCACCCCAAUUAUGCUGCGUGUGUAACACGUGUUCUUUAAUUAUCGAUCCUUAUCUUUUAUUGUGGGCUAUAUAUGGGUUGAUAUUUUGGGCUUUAAUGUGUAAGGAUUGGGGCCUCAAAUCUUGCUGUAAUUUGCUUAUUGUUGGGCUUUCUUUAAUAAAAGAUUGGACGACAAAAAAAAAAGUUAUAUUUCUUUUUUUUAUGGAAAAAUAAAACUACAGACGAUUUUAUUAUGAAAACAGCGAAGUUUACAAGUCAAACACAGAGACAAUAAAAUAUGAAACUUUAUUCCCAUUGUUUGGUCCUAAUAUAUCCUGCCCCUUUAGUAUAUUUAAGGCUCUUAUUUCAUUACAAAUGAUACAGAUGAGACUUCUUUUUCGUUAAGUGUGAGAAUCUCAAGCUGAAACUCAGACAAAACCUACAAAGUCAAUAAAAAUCCGGAGUUUUCUUACCACUACAUAUACGGAUAACCAUCAUAACUGAAAUCGCAGUAGACUCUCACUGGGGGAGCACUCGAAUUAUGACCUAGACCCACACAGCGAAUCCUAACAACCAUUGGAUCAAGAUAAGGUAGUUAUACGGAGAAGACCUACACCCUCCACCGUAUCCUCGGCCGUGUCCGCCGUCUCCUCCGUAGCUCUGUUGAUCAGGGUGCAGUGUCUCCUCACUCUCUGACUUCA
rnacentral:lncRNA from 1 species